CCAUCACCCAUUUUCAUCUUAUUCAAACAUUAUUUUUCGUUUUUUAAUUUUGUUUUAAAGAUGAAGAUCAAAAAGUGGAAAAGAAGGAAAAGAGAAGAUCUUAAUGAGUUUGUGAUUAUCAACCACCAUUACAAAGUUGCUAUUACACUUAUAUAUAGUGGAUGAGUUCAGUAACUACUAACUACAAGCGUAACAGACACUUAACAAAUUCUAACCACCUUAUGACACCUUAGUGCUGCUUACUCCUAUCAUCCUCUCUCAUCAGGACUUGACAAUCAACAAUCCUAAGUUUGUUUUGAAUAAUGUGAAACAGCUUGGAAGACACAAACUUCGUAAAGAUGUCUACCAUCCAAACACUUCCAGGAACGUGCUUGAUGAUAACUCCCCUUUUGGUAAUAUGAUCUCGAGCAAAACUCAAAUUCAUAGCAAAGUGCUUAGAUUUUGAGUGAAAAAUUAGGUUUGCAACAAGUUGAAUAGCUCCAAGAUUGUCAUAAUAGAUGAGAGGAGGACUUCGAAGGGGGCAUUUACAGCUCAUUCAACAGAUACUUGAGCUAAGUUAUUUUAGAAAUUAAUGCAGCAAUCCUCGAUACUCUGCCUCAGUACUAUACCAAGACACGACAUGUUGCUUCUUGGAGGACCACGCUACUAAAUUAGCCCCAUAGAACACACAUUAGCCGUUUGUAAAUUUAUGAUCAUUCGGAUUACUGACCCAGUUGUUGUUAGUGUAACCAAUUAGUCUAUGAUCAUUUGAAGGAGAGAUGUGUAAACAUAGGAUGUAGUCCCACUUAAGUACCUCAAAACUCGCUUGACCACCUUCUAAUGUGAAUCAAGCAGCUGUUGCAUGAACUGGCAAAACCGAUUUACCACAUAAGCAAUCUCGGGUCGAGUCACAGUAAUGUAUUGAAGGCUAUUAACAACUAUUUGAUAGAGACUCGAUCAGAAAAAGGGGAGCCAUCCUACUGGACAUCUUAGCAUCAGAAGCUAUCGGCGUAGUAUAGCGUUUACAAUCACUCAUCUUGGCCUUUUUAAAUACUUCUUAUAUGUAUUUGGCCUGAUUGAUAAUUUUUCCUGAGUUGUCAGAGGUAACAUGGAGACUAAGAAAGUAGUGGAUUGUCCCCAUGUCUUUAAGAGAAAAUUUAGAGUGCAAUUGCUUGACGAAGAUGUGAAUAAGUGUAGAGGAGCUACUAGUCAUGAUUAUAUCAUCCACAUAAAUAAGAGAAAAUAUUCUUUGACAACCAUCAAACCUGCUGAAGAUCGACACAUUAGAUUUCGUUGAUUGAAACUCUAUUGAUUUAAAAAUGCUAGCCAACUUGAGAUACUAAGCUCUUGGGGCCUGUUUGAGCCUAUAGAGAGAUUUACCGAGUUUGCAAAUAAUGGAGUUGUCUCCAAUUUCAUAACCUUUCGAUUGAAUCAUAUAGACUUCUUCUUUGAGAUUGCCAUUGAGAAAGGUUAUUAGUAAAAGCCUUGAGUCACAAGAUGCGCUUUAUACUUCUAAAGUGAGCUAUCAACAUUGUAAUUAGCUCUAAAGACCCAUUUGCUUCCAAUUGCAUUCUUAUUGGAUGGCAGCUUCACUAAACUCCAGGUAUUAUUUCUCAUUAGUGUAGCAUAUUCCUUAUUCAUAGCUUGUUUCCAAUGAGGAAAAGCCAAUGCUUGCUUAAUAAUUUUUGGUUCAAGGAAGGCAUUAAACACUUUGGGUUUAAAGACCCCUACUUUAGACCAUAUGAUCAUGUUGUGAGUGCUAGGGAUAGUGGUGGAGGUGUGGAAGAUUGUUCUUGUUGUAGAGGAGAGGGAUUGGGUACUGAAAGUUGUUGGGAAGAAGGUUGAUUGUUGGGAUAGAAUGUGGGUAGUAAGUAGAAGGUUGAGACAGAGGCAGUCUUAGUUUAAAGCAGGUCGUGAGUUAUUUGUAGGACAUGGUUGAGGUUAUUGAUGGUAAUGAUAAAUGUGUAUAGGUGGAAUUGGUGAGGGAUCAAUGUUAUGAGAGAGAGAUGGUUGAGGUAGCAUUUUGGAAAGGAAAUGUUUCCUCAUCAAAGACACAAUGCCUUGUGAUAAUAACCUUAUCGGAGGACAGCAAACACCUAAUCCCUUGUGUUGUGUACCAUAGCCAAGAAAGAGGUUUAGAUUGAAAAUUCAAUUUGUGUUGUUUAUAGGCCCUCAAAUGAGGGAAACAAAGGCACCCAAAUACUUUUAUAUUCUGAUAAUUUGGUCACUUCUUUAACAAUAUUUUCAUUGGGUGACAUGUUAUUUAGCACAGGGGUAGGUAAAAUGUUGAUUAACUGAGUAGCUGUGAGAAAUGUUUCUCCCCAAUAUUUUAGAGGUACACUAGCAUCGCCAUUAAUGUCAAUCUCAUCUCUACAAUAUAUUGAUGCUUCUUUUUUGAGACACCAUUUUGUUGAUGAACAUGCAGAUAUACGAAUCAGUGCACAAUUCCUUGUUCCUACAAGCUUUGAGACAGACUAACAUACACCUUAGCAUUAUCACUUUGAAACAUUCUAAUCUUGAAAUUCAAUUGCAAUGCAACCAUGUUUUGAAAAUUUUUAAAAACUUAUUUAAGCUGUGAUCUAGAUGAGAUUAAGUAAAGCCAAGUGAAUCUAGAAUAAGCAUCAAGAAAUUGAAAAUAAUAUAUAGCACCAUUUAUUUUAGAAAUAGGAGAACACCUCCAUAUAUUUGAACACACUAUUCGAGAGACGAAUACACAUAGUGGUGGAGUUUAGAAAAGGUAAAUUGUGUGAUUUUUUCUCUAGCAAGCUUUAUAAAUAAACUUGGGAAUUCAGAAUUUUACAUUGCAAAAUUGCACUAUUUUAGCUAAAAUAGAUGAGGAUGGAUAACCCAGCCUAUUAUGCCAAAGUCAAAAAGGGUUGUGAUAGAAAUUUGUGACUAAUAAUGCCUUCAGCGUGCAAGCAGUAAAGCUAAGUUGAAAUUAUAGAACUUCUAGAGACCAUUUUCCACAGAUCCAAGGAGUAAAACCUCCUUAGUCUCCUGAGAUUUUACACAACAAAAAUAAUCAUACAGUUCAAAAAAUACAUUAUUAUUUUUAGCAAACUUAUUAAAAUAGAUUAAAUUCUAGGUAAUAUUGGGGACAUGCAACAAAUUGACAAGUUUAAACAACUUUGAGUUCAAAUCAAAUUUAAAUAACAAAUUUUUAACAUAAGUUAUUUACAAACCUACACCAUCUCCAACUAGAUCUGAUAAGGUCCAUCAUAAACUGUCUUCUGCAUCAAAUUGUACAGAUUUGGAGUCAUAUGAUGAGUUACUCCCGAGUCCGGAUACCAGCUUAGGUUAGCUAUUGUUGAAGGUGUUGCAAUUUGACUGUUCAUUGUUAGAUUUGUAGUUGGUGGCCUUAAUCUCUGACUUGGUGAAUUGGCAAAUUAAAAUUUCUUGAAUCAUUACUCCGAAUAUCAUAAUUUCUUGAAUCAUAGCCCUAUAUGAAUCCGAUCCUUCAUCAUACCUAUACCAUUAUUAAACUGUAGUAUGCCCAAACUUAUUACACAGUUGACAGAUAGUUCUUGUUCCUGAAAACGUGCCACCUCCUCUGUAUCCACUGGAUCUACCUCUUCUAUCACAAAAACUAAAUCGUCCUCUUUCUCUAAAAUUUGAUUGAUUAAAGAAUCUGUGGUGUUGCCUUUGCCCUUGACUUUCAAAGUGUGCAACAUUUUCUUGAAUGAACAAGUCCAGCUUCUUAAACUUUUCUAACAUACACUCAUGUGAUAGCAGUAAAGCCUCAAGCUCUCUAACUAAAAUAGGUUCUACUCUAGACACCACUGAGAUAAUCAUGGCACUAAAUUCUAUUGGCAAGCCAUUCAAUUUUAGAUAUAUUAUCUCCAAUAAAAAUAAGGAAUCUACUAUUUCUUUUAUCUAAGAGGUAAUAAUUAAUUGAGCUAGUUUUUUUUAUAGUUCUUAAAUUUGUUUUUGUGGUGCAUAAUUUUUUUCUAACCUGUAUAAUGAAGAAUAUGUUAAAUCUUGACCAAAUCUGAUGUUUAAACUCGCAUCCUACCAUAAUUGUAGUGAAAUUCUUGCUCAUUGAUACUAACAACCAAGCUUUUGUGUGCAUCUUACUUCUUCCACUUUUUGUAGCUCGCUGAUACUGUUUCUGUCACUCGAUCUUUUUCAGUCAAACUUUACUAGAAUACUUUUUUCGGUGAAAUGAUCUAAGAGCUCAUAAUCCUCGAUUGUAGCCUCGACCUGAUCCCUUUAUAGCAUAAAAUUGAGAGUGUCCAGCUUUAACUCUAGUGAUAGUGUGAAAUCUUGAAUCGAUGAUUAUGCUUGAGCUCUGAUUUGGUUGUUCAAUUGCGAAUUAACUUCGGAAUAGCCAUGGUUAAACGGCUCUGAUACCAUAUAAGGUAUCAAGCCUUAAAUGAGAGAGGGGAUGAAAAGAUUAGAGACUGAGA